GACGAACGCUGGCGGCGUGCUUAACACACGCAAGUCGAACGGUAAGGCCCCUUCGGGGGUACACGAGUGGCGAACGGGUGAGCAACACGUGAGCAACCUGCCCUUGACUCUGGAAUAACAGUUGGAAACAGCUGCUAAUACUGGAUAUGCAUCGUUCUCCUCCUGGGGGGCGGUGGAAAGCUCCGGCGGUCAGGGAUGGGCUCGCGGCCUAUCAGCUUGUUGGUGAGGUAAGGCUCACCAAGGCUUCGACGGGUAGCCGGCCUGAGAGGGCGACCGGCCACACUGGGACUGAGAUACGGCCCAGACUCCUACGGGAGGCAGCAGUGGGGAAUAUUGCACAACGGCGGC
rnacentral:rRNA from 1 species